UUAAAUUGAAGAGUUUGAUCAUGGCUCAGAUUGAACGCUGGCGGCAGGCCUAACACAUGCAAGUCGAACGGUAACAGGAAGCAGCUUACUGCUUUGCUGACGAGUGGCGGACGGG
rnacentral:rRNA from 1 species